GGGCCAAAUCACAUAGAAACACCGAUUUCUGUACGAUCCCCGAAGUUAAGCAAUGUCGAGCUUGCCCAGUACCUAGACGGGUGACUGCUUGGGAAUACCAGGUACAGCA